GACGAACGCUGGCGGCGUGCUUAACACAUGCAAGUCGAACGGAAAGGCCCUGCUUUUGUGGGGUGCUCGAGUGGCGAACGGGUGAGUAACACGUGAGUAACCUGCCCUUGACUUUGGGAUAACUUCAGGAAACUGGGGCUAAUACCGGAUAGGAGCUCCUGCUGCAUGGUGGGGGUUGGAAAGUUUCGGCGGUUGGGGAUGGACUCGCGGCUUAUCAGCUUGUUGGUGGGGUAGUGGCUUACCAAGGCUUUGACGGGUAGCCGGCCUGAGAGGGUGACCGGCCACAUUGGGACUGAGGUACGGAGCAGAAUGCUACGGGAGGCAGCAGUGGAGAGUAUGGCACAGUGGGCGGGAGCCUGAUGCAGCAGCGCCGCGUGCGGGAUGACGGGCUACGGGUUGUAAACCGAUUUCGACGGUGACGAAGCGUGAGUGACGGUAAUGGGUAAAGAAGCACCGGCUAACUACGUG
rnacentral:rRNA from 1 species